rnacentral:rRNA from 1 species
UGGUGGUUUGAACUGUCUGGUUAAUUCCGAUAACGAACGAGACCUUAACCUGCUAACUAGUUGCGCGCAUUCCGAUGCGUUGCAGCUUCUUAGAGGGACAAUGUGUGGCAAACACAUGGAAGUUUGAGGCAAUAACA